AAGAACGCCUCCCGGUGUGAACGAAACUCCGACAGCGUCACCGUUACCGACACGCCCGACCUCUCGGCUCAGAGCGUCCCACUCGCGCGCGGCUUCCCCGCGGCCGCGCUCACCGUUAACCAGUUCACCUGCUCAUUUUCGGUGGGCCGCCGCGCGCGCCGCGCUCGCCGCGCUCCUCCGCGCCCACGGGGCAUCCAGGCCCAGCCGCGGCUGCUUCGAACCGACGAGUCUCACGACGUCGUCUUCACACAGACAAGUGGGACACGAGCGCGUGACGCUAGCAGAAGCGCUGCUCCGGGCACCAGGACCUUGUCGGCUCGGUCGGCUGGCUGUGGUGAAGUGACGGCCACCUGCAUCCCAACGACUCCACUUUCUAAAGAAAUCAUUUCCACGACCCACUCAGCCAGGCCAGGCCGAGGGUUUGAGUUGCCCCUGAUUCGAAGGUGCUGCUUCUGGAAGGCACAGUGUGUGUCCCUGUUCUGUUUAUGGUGGAACCUGAUUCAACGAGGGUGGAAACAAGGCCACACUUUUCAUCAGUGGUCUUGUUUGAAACUCUGCCCCUGA
rnacentral:lncRNA from 13 species